rnacentral:lncRNA from 1 species
CUGAGGUAUCACUGUGAUAUCUAUAAAAAGGGAGUCUAUGACAAAGAGAGUUGUUAUCUUUUCCAAACAGGGAAAUGGAUGUGGGCGCCCAUGAAACACCUGGAAGCGCGAGCUUGAAGCGGACGUCAGAAGUUCUGGAAUAAGUUGGAAGACAAUGAAAAGACAGCACAAAUGGAGAGGUGAUGGAGAGGAGUCGUCGAGUAAAUGACUUUCUAAACUUCGUCUCCUAAGCCUGAGGAGUUUGAGGGGAUCCAUUCACACACCUUUCGGGUGAAGACAUUCAAGAAGAGCAAGCACUGUGGCGUGUGCAAACAGACCGUCAGCCAGGAGGGGCUAAUUUGCAAAGUGUGCCGGCUGACUUGCCACAAGACAUGUGAAGUGAAGGUAAGAGCAGCAUCUUUUCUCAGGGCUCUUAUGUUGCCGAAUGGGCAUGUCUAAGCAAUGGGAACGCAGUCUUUUUUAGGCAGCUACACUUUUUACAUGUAGGUUGUUAUGAACUGUCAUUACAUCUUAUGUCAUCACGUCACAUCUCAAGUGCACAAGAGUCAAGUACAGUGUAGCUCUACCAAGUCAUCCUCUGUUGACGCAACAGGAGGCUGCUGAGGGGAGGAGGGCUCAUAAUAAUGGCCGGAACGGAGAGCGAAUGGAAUGGCAUCAAAACACAUGGAAACCAUGGAAACCAUGUGUUUUACUGU